rnacentral:rRNA from 1 species
GGACUACUGGGGUUUCUAAUCCUGUUUGCUCCCCACGCUUUCGCACCUCAGCGUCAGUAUCGGCCCAGGUCUCCGCCUUCGCCACUGGUGUUCCUCCCGAUAUCUACGAAUUUCACCUCUACACCGGGAAUUCCGAGACCCUCUUCCGUACUCAAGCCCGCCAGUUUCGGAUGCACUUCCUCGGUUAAGCCGAGGGCUUUCACAUCCGACAUAGCGAACCGCCUACGUGCGCUUUACGCCCAAUGAUUCCGAGCAACGUUUGCACCCUCCGUAUUACCGCGGCGGCUGGCAC